rnacentral:rRNA from 2 species
GCAUAUCAAUAAGCGGAGGAAAAGAAACCAACAGGGAUUGCCCAGUAACGGCGAGUGAAGCGGCAACAGCUCAAAUUUGAAAUCUGGCCUCACGGCCCGAGUUGUAAUUUGCAGAGGAUGCUUUUGGCGCGGCGCCUUCCGAGUGCCCUGGAACGGGACGCCAUAGAGGGUGAGAGCCCCGUCUGGUUGGAUGCCUAGCCUCUGUAAAGCUCCUUCGACGAGUCGAGUAGUUUGGGAAUGCUGCUCAAAAUGGGAGGUAUAUGUCUUCUAAAGCUAAAUAUUGGCCAGAGACCGAUAGCGCACAAGUAGAGUGAUCGAAAGAUGAAAAGCACUUUGAAAAGAGGGUUAAAUAGUACGUGAAAUUGUUGAAAGGGAAGCGCUUGUGACCAGACUUGGGCUUGGUGAAUCAUCCGGCGUUCUCGCCGGUGCACUUUGCCUGUCCAGGCCAGCAUCAGUUCGCUCCGGGGGAUAAAGGCGUGGGGAAUGUGGCUCCUCCGGGAGUGUUAUAGCCCCGCGUGUAAUACCCUGUGGCGGACUGAGGUUCGCGCUCCGCAAGGAUGCUGGCGUAAUGGUCAUCAGCGACCCGUCUUGAAACACGGACCAAGGAGUCGUCUUCGUAUGCGAGUGUUCGGGUGUCAAACCCCUACGCGUAAUGAAAGUGAACGCAGGUGAGAGCUUCGGCGCAUCAUCGACCGAUCCUGAUGUUCUCGGAUGGAUUUGAGUAAGAGCAUACGGGGCCGGACCCGAAAGAAGGUGAACUAUGCCUGUAUAGGGUGAAGCCAGAGGAAACUCUGGUGGAGGCUCGCAGCGGUUCUGACGUGCAAAUCGAUCGUCAAAUAUGGGCAUGGGGGGCGAAAGACUAAUCGA